rnacentral:lncRNA from 1 species
AGAAAGAGAGAGAAAGAGAACUGACUAUCUCUCUAUUCUGUGUAUCGUUCUGUACAAGAAAAUGAAUCAAUAAUGUAAAAAUACAGAAGCCUCUAGAAUAUGUACACUUUGGGCCGAAAUAAAUUAUUGUGUGUGUGGGCCUGAAACAAACUUGGGCUGCUUAGUUGGGAUGCUUAGUCUGGUCCAGAACUUGGGCUACUUGGGCUGCAGUCACUAACUCUAACCCCCUUCAAGGUGGAGGGUGAUUGAACCCCCAGCUCGAGCAAUAUGGAGUGACGCAGAAGCCCUGUCAAAGGCUUAGUAAAAAUAUCAGCAAGCUGAGAGGCAGUGGGAACAUGAUUGAGCAAUAUGGAGUGAUGCAUAAGCCUUGCCAAAGGCUUAGUAAAAAUAUCAGCAAGCUGAGAGGCAGCUGGAACAUGAUGCAAGGCAAUAAGGCCCUCCUGAAGCUUGGUUCUGAUGAAGUGGCAAUCCACUUAAAUGUGUUUGGUCCGCUCGUGAAACACAUGAUUCUUGGCAAUGUGAAGUGUUGCCUGGUUAUCACAAAAAACAGGCACAACAGAGGUAACAAGAACACCAAAAUCAGACAGAAGUCUAACAAGCCAGGUGAGCUCACCAACAACUUUACUCAUGGCCCUGUACUCAGCCACAGAAGAAGACAGGGACACCACAGGCUGCUUCUUAGCCUUCCAACCAAUAAGAGAGCCACCCAAUAGAAUACAAAAUCCAGAAACAGACCUCCUAGUGUCUGGGCAGGAAGCCCAGUCACUAUCACAAUAGGCAGACAAUGAGAGAUCAGGGGUGUUGCUGAGGAAGACCCCAACUUCAGAAGUUCCUGUAAGAUAUCUGAGUGUAUGUAAGGCUGCAUGCAUGUGAGAGGAAGUAGGCUUCUGAAGAUACUGACUGAGAUGUUGCACAGCAAAGGCCAAAUCAGGUCUAGUGUGAAUGAGAAAAUUGAGCUUCCCCACCAGGCUUCUAUAGGACUCAGGAGAUUGGAGAGGAUCUCCUUCAGCCAUUUUGAGCUUGACAGAAAGGUCAAGUGGACAUGUAACAGGUGUAACAUCUAGUGAUAUGCUUUGAGAAGGUCAGUAAAAAAUUUCUUCUGAUGAAGAAGCAGCCCAUCAGAGUGGUAACUGACUUCAAUGCCAAGAAAAUAAUUGAGGACUCCCAAGUCCUUGAUUUUAGACUCAAGGUCCAGAAAGCUCUUCAAGGUAGUAAUCUCCUCCAAAUCAUUACCAGUGAGAAUAAUAUCAUCAACAUAGACAGCCAACAAUACAAUAGAAGAGGCAGAUUUCUUAAAAUAAAGGGAAUAAUCAUUGAAAGAAAAAGAAUAGCCUCCAGAACAUAACGCUUGAGACAGCUUGGCAUACCACUGCCUAGAAGCUUGUCUCAAACCAUAUAAGGAUUUUUGAAGAAGACAAACCAGAGGAGAAGAAGAGGAGGAACAGUUGACAGUCAGCUAGGAGGCAGUCUUAUAUAAACCUCUUCAUCCAAAUCACCAUGUAAGAAAGCAUUAUUCACAUCAAGUUGAAAAGAGACCAGUUCUACUUAACAGCCACAACAAUGAGGGGCUUAAUAGUGGAAAAUUUGACAACAGGAGAAAAAGUUUCAUUAAAAUCCACACCCUCAACUUGGGUGUCACCCCUACCAACCAAUCUAGCUUUAUAUCUUUCCACAGACCCAUCAGCCCUAUACUUGAUCUUAUAGACCCAUUUGCAACCAAUAGGUCUUUUACCAGGAGGAAGCUGAACUAUAGACCAAGUGUGAUUAACAUGCAAGGCUGCAAACUCUUUUGUCAUUGCCUCCUGCCAUGCAGGGAGAGAGGCAACCCGCUGAUAAGAGGUAGGCUCUACCUCUGCACUGUUAACCAAACUGUGAAGGCAAGUGGAAGAAG